UCAAGAGUACGUGAAACCGUUCAGGGGUAAACCUGAGAAACCCAAAAGAUCGAAUGGGGAGAUUCAUCGUCAGCUCAUUUUAUAUAUAUGCAUGUUAUAAUAUGAGUUAUUGCUUUAUUGCAGUAUUGCUUAUAUAUUCAUGUAUAUUUUAUUGUAAAAUGUGGUCGGCGUGCACUUCUCCCCUAGUAGGACAUCGUGACCCGUUGAAAUAUAAAUAAUAUUAUACAAUCUACGGCCCAAGUUGUAAGAUUUUAAUGAAAAAUUUUAAAUUUUUCAUUGAAAACACUUGGUGUUACCUGAUUGUAAUUCGACGGUAUACGUAUGGUAUUGAGCCGCAAAAAUAUAUAAUAUGCGUCUAUUAUCCUACACAAGCAAGAUUAAUUACUAAUAGUUUACGGACUUAGUGCCGUCGUUGGUAUUAAUCAGCUGUUGGUUGUAUGGAUCUAAGACUGGCUUAUUUUAUAAUACCGGUCAACGAUGCUAUUGCUUUGGGUACUUUCAGGACCCGUCUUGAAACACGGACCAAGGAGUCUAACAUGUACGCGAGUCAUUGGGAUUUUAAAAAAAUUAAACCUAAAGGCGUAAUGAAAGUAAAGGUCAAUCUUGUAUUGACUUAAGGAGGAUAUAUUAUUUUUAAUAAUUAAAAAAAUAUAAAAUAAUAUCGCACUCCUGGGGCGUCUCAUUCUCAUUUUAUGAGAAGAGGCGCACCUAGAGCGUACACGUU
rnacentral:rRNA from 1 species